rnacentral:snoRNA from 1 species
AUCCUUUUGCAGUUAUGCAUAAUGACUGGGGUUUUCAUGCUUAUGAAUGAGACGUGCCUCCCUCAAACAUUGCUAUACAUCAGCACAUUAUGCAUCUGACA